rnacentral:rRNA from 1 species
AGAUUGAACGCUAGCGGGAUGCUUUACACAUGCAAGUCGAACGGCAGCGCGGACUUCGGUCUGGCGGCGAGUGGCGAACGGGUGAGUAAUAUAUCGGAACGUGCCCAGUAGCGGGGGAUAACUACGCGAAAGCGUGGCUAAUACCGCAUACGCCCUACGGGGGAAAGGGGGGGAUCGCAAGACCUCUCACUAUUGGAGCGGCCGAUAUCAGAUUAGCUAGUUGGUGAGGUAAAGGCUCACCAAGGCGACGAUCUGUAGCUGGUUUGAGAGGACGACCAGCCACACUGGGACUGAGACACGGUCCAGACCUCC